GAUGAACGCUGGCGGCGUGCCUAAUACAUGCAAGUCGAGCGAACAGACGAGGAGCUUGCUCCUCUGACGUUAGCGGCGGACGGGUGAGUAACACGUGGAUAACCUACCUAUAAGACUGGGAUAACUUCGGGAAACAGGAGCUAAUACCGGAUAAUAUAUUGAACCGCAUGGUUCAAUAGUGAAAGACGGUUUUGCUGUCACUUAUAGAUGGAUCCGCGCCGCAUUAGCUAGUUGGUAAGGUAACGGCUUACCAAGGCGACGAUGCGUAGCCGACCUGAGAGGGUGAUCGGCCACACUGGAACUGAGACACGGUCCAGACUCCUACGGGAGGCAGCAGUAGGGAAUCUUCCGCAAAGGGCGAAAGCCUGACGGAGCAACGCCGCGUGAGUGAUGAAGGUCUUCGGAUCGUAAAACUCUGUUAUUAGGGAAGAACAAAUGUGUAAGUAACUAUGCACGUCUUGACGGUACCUAAUCAGAAAGCCACGGCUAACUACGUG
rnacentral:rRNA from 1 species